rnacentral:lncRNA from 1 species
UCAGCACAGUGAAAGUCCAAGGCAAUGACAUCUCCCACAAGCUUCAGAUUUCCAAAGUGAGGAAAAAGGAUGAAGGCUUAUAUGAGUGCAGGGUGACUGAUGCCAACUACGGGGAGCUUCAGGAACACAAGGCCCAGGCCUAUCUGAAAGUCAAUGCCAACAGCCAUGCCCGCAGAAUGCAGGCCUUCGAAGCCUCGCCCAUGUGGCUGCAGGAUAUGAAGCCCCGCAAGAACGUCUCCGCAGCCAUCCCCAGCAGCAUCCAUGGCUCUGCCAACCAACGAACGCACUCCACCUCCAGCCCUCAAGUGGUAGCCAAAAUCCCCAAACAAAGUCCACAAUCAGGCCAAUUUAGAAGCUUAGUCACAGGAUUCUGAAGGCAGCUGUGCAAGUUAAAGCUGUUCUGAAUGGCAUUAAUGUAUGCAGUCAUUCAGCCAAUGGAAAUGCGUGGAAGUUUUAACCUUGAUGUGGGAUAAAGGCUUCGUGGAAUGAGCAGUACCCUGCACAACCCC